CGCUCAGAAUCAUUUGGUUUUUCGCCCAGAAUGCACGUAUUGACGGCCGCUUCUAUCGGGAUCAUUAUCCUGCUGCUCCUUGGACAUAUUUCGGAAAACUUCGUCACUGGAAAACUGAACACCAAUCAAAAAAGGGACACGGCUUAUUCUGAUUUAAACUUAAAUUUUGGUUGGCACAAUAAUCCAUUUUCAAAGAAUAUAGGUUGAUGGAAAUAGAGAUAAGCUGCAAAAAUCAACUUCGCUCAGAAUCAUUUGGUUUUUCGCCCAGAAUGCACGUAUUGACUGCCGUUACAAUCGGGAUCAUUAUCCUGUUGCUCCUUGGACAUAUUUCGGAACAAGUUACCGUACCCCCAUGGCAAUUCAACCCUCAAACAGUAAACAUUAUCAAAGAAAAUGGCACCCCUUAUUCUGGUUUAACCUUCAAUCCAUUUGAAAAAAAUAUAGGUUAUAGGAAAUUGAGCAGGUUCCAGUUAGUGAAAGACUAUUGGCAUUAAACAGGAAGAUAACAUCGAGCGCAAUUAUUGGAGUUAAAUAGACAUCAUCAAGUGUUAAUGUCUGUUUAAAUAUUUAUUAAACAUCGUUUGUAUAAUGCUCAAAAAAUAUUAAAUAUUUAUUAUG